rnacentral:sRNA from 1 species
UGAAGAAAUAGCCCAAGAAAUGUUGAC